rnacentral:rRNA from 1 species
CCUUGGUAGUCUCAGAGAAUUGAUCUUGGUCAGGAUGAACGCUAGCAAUAGGCCUAACACAUGCAAGUCGAGGGGCAGCACAUGAGUAGCAAUACGAUGGUGGCGACCGGCGCACGGGUGAGUAACACGUAUGCAACCUACCUUUAACAGGGGAAUAACCCGUUGAAAAACGGACUAAUGCCCCAUGACACAGGGGUCCCGCAUGGGAAUAUUUGUUAAAGAUUAAUCGGUUGAAGAUGGGCAUGCGUUCCAUUAGCUUGUUGGUGAGGUAACGGCCCACCAAGGCAACGAUGGAUAGGGGAACUGAGAGGUUUAUCCCCCACACUGGAACUGAGACACGGUCCAGACUCCUACGGGAGGCAGCAGUGAGGAAUAUUGGUCAAUGGAGGCAACUCUGAACCAGCCAAGUCCGCGUGAAGGAUGAAGGUCUUAUGGAUUGUAAACUUCUUUUUCAAGGGAAUAAAGUGGGGGACGUGUCCUCCUUUGCAUGUACCUUGCGAAUAAGGAUCGGCUAACUCCGUGCCAGCAGCCGC